rnacentral:lncRNA from 1 species
ACUUUGCUGCAGAAGGAUCUGAGUGUGUGUCCUGUGUUUGCGUCCCCGCCGGCGAGACUCCUUAUCCCAGACCACAUAUGGUGCUGAAACCUGGGACUUCAACAUCGCUGGCACUGAGGAGACCCCCUGGAGACAGAGCAGAUUAAGAACGGCAGUGGCUGGUGACAGAGAGGUUAUUACAUCAUCCGCAUGAGAUAGAUUCAGCUGAAGAAUGCUUCCCACAGAGACCUACAGGAGAUCUCCAAGUUUCCCAAGACAGUGAGUGAUCCAGUUCAAAAACUUGGCCUUUUACUUUUCUCUUUCUCUUUCCAAAGUGUUCUUGGCCAGCUCUGUAACUGAAAGAAAACGAGAUUUUGUAUCUUGUGAUUCAUGUAAAAGAGUUGUCUAUGAGCCUGCGGCCUGGGACCAAGAACAAAGUAGAACAGACAGGGUUGUUGUUAAGACAUUCCUAAGAACAGCUUGAUUGUUCAAGCAGGGCUAUCUUGUCUGGGUCAACACCACCUGGCCGGAACCUCCCCUCUGUCUACUGCCCCUUGACGCCAGGUAAAGUCAUACAUAAACUGGUUGCUAUGUGAAUAAGAUAAGCCACCAGCCCACAGGAACAAAGUCUUGAUGCCCUUUUGCUAACAUGUAAUCUUUCUGUUAAUGUUUAAAUAAGCCAAUAGUGUGUUGCUAUGCUGAAUUCCACACCCCUAAGCACCUUACCCCAUAAAAACCCCUAGCUUUCCAGCCUCAUGGCCAACAUCUGUUAUCUCCUGUAUGGGAUGCAUGUCAGUCAGGAGCUCCUUCGUUAAACGUCCUCAUAUAAUUACAUCAAGAGAUGGUCCUUUGUGAUUAUUUUUCGGUGCACGCCAAAUCGGGAAUUGGGUGGGGGUUUCCCCACAAGGUCUAACAUAACCCCUCCCCUCUAGUUCUUGGCUUUAAUCUCUGCUGGCUAGGGCUGUCGUGAGGUCCCCUUCCCUUUCUUUGUUACAGGUUUAACUACAAGAGAGUUGGCUUUCUGACAUCUGUAGCCUUCCUUACUCCAGAUAAGGCCCAGCUAGGCAGUGAUAGUCAGCUGAGUGGGCGGGACAUGCCACAGCUGGGCUGAACCCCUGCUAAAAGCCUUCCACUUAACCCUUUACUCUCCAGUUAAAAUAAAAAGAAAACAGGGGGAAUUAUGCCUCUCCCAACAUCCAGAUAAGCCCUGACAGGAAUACCUGAAUAGUGCUUUUAACCAAAAAAUUAUCUUGCUUCUUUUUCUAAAUGCUCUUUUUCUCUCUAGUUUUCAACAUAUAUGUCCAAAAAUUCUUACACCUUGUUUAAAAUUUCCCUUAAGGUGCAAAAAUUGUCCAAUGCUUAAUUAAUAGCUGGUUUUCUUUUACAGAAGAACUGUUAACUGCCUACUCCAGUUACACAACUAACAUUACAUUUUCUUCUUUCGCCAUCCACAAGGAUCUGGGAUGUGCUCCUAAGCAAACCAUUACAGGCAUGGUUUUUGCUAUCCACACUAUGGAGAUAUCCUCUGCUUGUGUUCUGCUUCUUUGUUAUAAUUAAUACAGGUCUAUCUCUAAACGAGGCCUGCUGCCACAGCUCCACCUGAGACAGCACCAUCUACUGAGACCUACAGAGGAAAGCUGCCUUACUCCAAAAAUCUCAUCUGACUGAAGGUUCCCAAGAAAAGUAUUGAAUCCUAUCAAAGACAGUCCUGGGACCUUUGAGCUACAGAUGGACUCUUUUUUUCUAAAGCCAAAUGGCUGUUGAAUUUUGGGGAAAGUUAUAUGAUAGUAAGGAAAGCAUAAUGUCUAUAUAAAUUAAUUGAUUGCUGU